CACGGAGUUAGCCGAUGCUUAUUCAUUCGGUACAGGCAUCACCCUACUCGUAAGGCUUAUUCUUCCCGAAUAAAAGAGGUUUACAACCCAUAGGGCAGUCUUCCCUCACGCGACUUGGCUGGUUCAGGCUCGCGCCCAUUGACCAAUAUUCCUCACUGCUGCCUCCCGUAGGAGUUUGGACCGUGUCUCAGUUCCAAUGUGGGGGACCUUCCUCUCAGAACCCCUACCUAUCAUCGACUUGGUGGGCCGUUACCCCGCCAACUAUCUAAUAGGACGCAUGGCCAUCCUGUACCUCCGAAAAUUUUACACCCGAAAGAUGCCUCCCGAAUGUCAUAUGGGACAUUAAUCCACGUUUCCAUGGGCUAUUCCCCUGUACAGGGCAGGUUCCAUACGCGUUACUCACCCGUGCGCCGGUCGCCGGCAGAGUAUUGCUACUCCCCGAUGCCCCUCGACUUGCAUGUGUUAAGCCUGUCGCUAGCGUUCAUCCUGAGCCAGGAUCAAACUCU
rnacentral:rRNA from 1 species